UCUGAACAUGGGAGCAGAAAGCUCUACCUGCAGCCAUGGAGGCCUGCAAUGAUGGCAAAGGGCAUUAAUGAUGAGCUCCUGCCCCUGACCCCGACCUCAUCAACCACUGCUCCUCUCCCCAGCCGGGGUCUGCAAUCCAGCCAGCUGCAGAGGAGUUUAAAGGGUAGCCGUCCCCAGUCAGCCAGCUGGCCAUUAAUAAUGUUUUCAUCCGUGACAAUGACAAACCUGCAGUACUUGUGGAGAGUUUAUUAAGAAAAGACAGUGAAAUGGAAGUCCCUAUGGUAAUCAAUUCUCAAUUGUGCAGAAGCAUCAACAAAUCAGAAUGGCCCAAUGGUCAGGCUAGUGAGUUCUCUUAAAUGUUCUACCUUCUGUUAGUUCCCACAUCUUGCAAGAUUCAAAUUCAAGCUAGAGAGCCUCAGGGUUGGACACAGAGUAUGAACAGUAUGGAAUUCCCACUCAGAGUCACAGGCAAGAAGGAAGGAAGACUUGGAGCCUCUGGUCUAAGGAUUCGGUUCUGCCAUUCUAUUCAGUUUAGUGAAUGUCUCGAGAGUAUGUCUUCUAAGCCAGGUCCUGGGCCAAGGGCACAGGGUAGGGGGAGGGAAGAGAUACAGUAACAACAAGCUGGCAUGGGACCAAUCGUGAGAUGUACAGUGAUGGCUAUGUCAGUAGUGUAGACCACCACUCCACCAUAAAGACCUCCACAGGGGAAAGGAAUUCCAGGAAGGCUUCACAGAGGAGGUAUCUCAGUGAAAUCGAGGCUUGAAGAACAAGUGGAGAAAUGUCAUAUGGGAAAGGAAAGGACAUGCUGGGUGCUAUGGGCUGAACUGUGUCCCCUUGAAAUUCAAACGCUGAAAUACUAACCUGCAAAUAGUAUCUUAGAAUGAGACUAUUUGGAGACAGUGUAAAGAGGUAAUUAAUUAAAAUGAAGUCACUGAGGUGGGCCUUCAUUCACUCUGACUGAUGUUCUUCUGAGAUGAGGAGAUCUGGGCACAGAGAUCUGAAUCACCUUUGUACAGGGAGAAGCCAAAGAGAGAGGCCUCAGAUGAAAUCAGCCUUGAGAACUUGAUCUCAAACUUCCAGCAUCUAGAAUGGUGAGAAAACAAAUACCUGCUGUUUGAGGGUGCCCAGCCUAUGGCUCUUUGUUAGUGAUAGUGAAAAAAAUAUACCAGGGACGCAAAGAGCUCCAACCAAGUUCUGGAAGUGACUGUGACUGAGUACUCAGAGAACUGUGUUGCUCUGAGGAGUUGGAGAAGCCUGAAGGAG
rnacentral:lncRNA from 1 species